rnacentral:lncRNA from 1 species
GGAACUAUGAAAAAGCCAGAUGCUGAUCUGGGAAAUGUCCCAGAAUUAUUCUUUUGAAAAAUAUUAACACUCCAUUACAAAAGGUCUUGCGGAGAAUUAUAUUGAAACUCAGUUCCUGAUGACUAUAAAUAUAUAGAAGCAGCAACACAUUGGAGCAAAACUUGCGAUUUGAGGGUUGCAUUUGGACCUAAAAAGUGCUCCCACGCCUUCAAACACAGUAUGCUAAAGAGGCAUUUGUUUCAUCCACGAAGAACCCGGGCUCCGUGGAAAGGUUGCUCCCGUGACCACUCAACCUCUAUUUGAACAGAAUCUUCAAUGGCCAGAAACUCAGAAGUACCUAGAGUAAUUGGGGCUGCAAGGAAAACGAUGAUGAAACAAAAUGCAUUCAAAGCUCUCAGCUGCCUUUCGAAGAAGAUGAACGUAGUUUUAAAUGGAGGCUUUCUUAUUUCCUUGCUAGUGUGGGUCAGCAAGGGAUUACGCCAGCAAGAUCCUUAAAGUCACUGGAGGUGCUUUUGGGAAAGAAAAGACGUCUGCUCACCCCCACUCCUUAGGGGAUUUAGUUUAAGCCUUAGAAG